AAUAGAUACCCGGGUAGUCCACGCCGUAAACGAUGAGUGCUAGGUGUUAGGGGUUUCGAUGCCCUUAGUGCCGAAGUUAACACAUUAAGCACUCCGCCUGGGGAGUACGGCCGCAAGGCUGAAACUCAAAGGAAUUGACGGGGGCCCGCACAAGCAGUGGAGCAUGUGGUUUAAUUCGAAGCAACGCGAAGAACCUUACCAGGUCUUGACAUCCUCUGACGACCCAAGAGAUUGGGAGUUCCCCUUCGGGGGACAGAGUGACAGGUGGUGCAUGGUUGUCGUCAGCUCGUGUCGUGAGAUGUUGGGUUAAGUCCCGCAACGAGCGCAACCCUUGAUCUUAGUUGCCAGCAUUAAGUUGGGCACUCUAAGGUGACUGCCGGUGAUAAACCGGAGGAAGGUGGGGAUGACGUCAAAUCAUCAUGCCCCUUAUGACCUGGGCUACACACGUGCUACAAUGGAUGGUACAAAGGGCAGCAAGACCGCGAGGUUUAGCGAAUCCCAUAAAGCCAUUCUCAGUUCGGAUUGCAGG
rnacentral:rRNA from 1 species